CAAAACUACCCUAAUUAAUAUAAAUAAUAGGACCAAAUAUUAAACAUUUUUUGACAACAGGAUCUUAUAAGUUUCUGUAUUUCAAAUCAAAUACUCUGAAGAUGGGUCUGGAACUGAAUAGCUUUCAUCACGAUGCAUUAUUUCUUCAUGAGAGCCUACUAUGUUAUUGAACAGCACCAAAGAACAAUCUCCUGUAUAAUGAGGGGAGGGCAGGUAUUACAAAAAGCAUUCAAAAGGUGAUCAAGAGAAAGAGCACACCUGUUCUGGAAGGGAAAGCACCUCUCUGGACCUGCAGGAGAGCUUACUAUAAGAAGUGAAACAGAGAGCUAUCGAAAAAAAAUGAAGCCACCAGACAAGAUGUUGCAGUUGAGAGUGAGAAGACAUUCCCUAUGGUCAUACAACACAAAGAGGCCAGAGGAGAUGUCAGCUGCAUAGCAAUUGAACUUUUGGAAGAACAGAAGGCUGAGGGACCAUGUCUUCCUCCUUUUAUACAAGGAAUCAUGAAGAUAGCCUGAAUUGUGAAAGCUCAGGAGAAUAAGGAAGGGGAAGAGAGUAAGCAAGAAUAGGAUGUGAACCCCUUUGACUUUCCAUAAAGAUUGCAUGUUCAGCAUAUCAAAACAGUACUGAAAAAAAAAAGAGGAUCAAUAACAACAAAAAGAAAUAUUGCAGAAGAAAGUAAGAUAGAGAAAAUAAUCUCCUAGGAAUUUUUUUUUUUUUAAAGAAUGAAGACACUUAGCAAAAUACUUAGCCAAGUUGUCAAUUUUCUUGGAUUGUCAAUAUCCCUGAUCACGUGUGUUGUACAUCAGAUCUGAAUUAGCAGAGAAGCAGAACACUUCUGUCCCCUGUAAAAGUGGUAGGAAAAAAGAAAAAGCAAAGGUGGAAAAAGAUUUUCUUUAAAACCAAAGUGCCUGUUUUCCAGCAUAAUAUGGAAAAAUAACAUGCAUAACAGUCCUUCCUUCUACAAUGUGUGAUGUUCCAUGAGUAUCAUGGUUCAGCUUUUUGAGACUAAAAAGCUCUGAGAACCUUCUGGAGGAAUCUGUACCCUCCAGAAGGCAAAGUCCUCCAAACUCCUGUAACAUUUCCUUAGUGGCUUCUCUCAUUAGAAACAAAAAUACAACCAACAAACUUCUUUCUUUCCUGCUCUCACAUGAACAUAGGUGCCUGUGUUUUAAGUCAUUCAGGUUGCUGUAAUAUAUCUAGAUUUUUGCUCUUUAGAGAAUGGUAUCCAUGUUUGUCUCCACACUGUGCUUUUCUGUCAGCAUGCCAGUCUGAAGCAGCAUAUGCCUGCCUGUUUACCAUGCAUUCAGCAUAGUGUGGCUGGUCUUUCUUCGGGGAAUAAAAGUAAAUCUUUCAAGACAUCCUGAACUUUCAGUUCUUGGUAAUCUUACUCACCUAUGACUUUAGGAGAGGUAAGCACAGACAUACUCUUUUUGUCUGAGUUAUGUCAGGACCAUAACAAAACAUGAAGAGGGAAUCACAGUUAGUGAGCAAAGACUAGUUUUACUUUGAAACCAUUUCUUUGUUUCCAUAGGCUGCUUGCCCUUCAUGUUAUCCUUCUAUCUUACCUUGGAGAAGUAAGGGUGAAUGAGGAGAAGUAACCUAUUGGCAAAUUUUCAUGUUAUUAUUUAUGUCCAUUGGUGAAUCAUGAAACUGAAUUACAGGACAGCCCUGAAUUACAGACAUAAUCAGUUUUCACAUUUGACAACAUCCAUUUUAAUAAUUUAGCUCAUUAAUGAGUGCCAUCUUUGCAGUGCAUUGCAGUGCUCUCUCUGUCUCUCUCUCUUUCUCUUUAUGUUUUACUCUACAAAGUAAAAAUCUGCCUGUGUGAGAUACCUGAUACUGUCUCCUUUCUUCCUGCAUUACUGUCUCUCUCAGGCCAUCCUCAGAGUGAUCUACUUGAAUUAUGGCUGUGAAUUUAAAAAUUGCAAGUGCUGAAGUAAAGAUUACUCAAAGAAAUUGUUUUUAAUGACUACUAAUGCAGUUGUUCUACCUUGAAUUUAAUGUAAUUUGUGUUUUGUAGACUUGAGGGAGAGCAGUCUCCUUACAGUUUCAUGGGUAGAGAGAGAAAAUAUUCAAAAGCCCUACUGUGGGCCAUCAUCCCCAAAGUUCAAACUGCGGUCCUGGCUCUCAUAACAACUUUCCUCUUUCCUCUGGAGCAAAUCUUAAAUACAUUUCUUCUGGGGGAAUUCGCAGCUCUUUCUCAAAGCACUAUCACAUUAGCCAUUUGUUAUUGAUUAGAUGCAGAAAUAUUAGCACAUCUCCAAUUUAAAGGCUGCUUUUCUCACUCAGGUUUCUUUCUGUCUCUAGUGACUACCCAGCGUCAGGAAACAGUCUUAGUGGAGGUUAAGUGUUCCAUGCCCAGACUACUUCACUGAUUGUAGGUCUAAAGCCAUACUGUUGGGUUGUUGGAGCAUAUCUGCUUGGGCUUGUGUUAUGAUUUAAGGCUUCAUGCUAAAUUAACAGUUUUAAAAGUUACAAGUAAUUUUUCUCCACAUUGAUUCGACAAAGUAAGCUUUUCUUUUGAUGCUUCAUGAUCUGUUUUCAUAGAGGUGUGUGACCCUAUUGUUUAUCCAAAUAUAUAGUGCAUAUUGAUUAUAUGCAAAUAAUCACUUUGUCUUUUUUUUUUAACAAGAAAUUACCAGAAAGCUAAAGCAAAAACAUUCUUACAAUAAAGUACGUUAAUGGCACAAAGUUAAUUUUCUUCUGUUUGUAUUGUAAGUUCAUCCAGCAUGCUUCCAGAAGUUGUA